rnacentral:rRNA from 1 species
UACGUAGGGGGCAAGCGUUGUCCGGAAUCAUUGGGCGUAAAGAGCGUGUAGGCGGCCUGGUAAGUCCGCUGUGAAAGUCCAGGGCUCAACCCUGGAAUGCCGGUGGAAACUGUCAGGCUCGAGUCCGGAAGAGGCGAGUGGAAUUCCUGGUGUAGCGGUGAAAUGCGCAGAUAUCAGGAGGAACACCAAUGGCGAAGGCAGCUCGCUGGGACGGUACUCACGCUGAGACGCGAAAGCGUGGGGAGCAAACAGG